AAAUUCAAAUCUACUUCCCUCCCCUAAUCUUCUCACUUUUAUCCCAAACCCUAUCACCUAUCUUCAGUGUUUGCUCUCCACACUCUCCCCUAAUCGACUAUUGCAAAAUAUAUUUUUCGAUCACAACACUGUGGAAACCGCCAUCUUCGAUCUUUUACAAUUACCGAUCAUCACCGAUUACGCCUAUCCCCAAGCGUCACUCCAAACUCGUUUGUAAAUUUGACAGAAGCAUUAGGUGGUUCUGAUUACGGUAGGAUUUCAAUUGGGUGAGUUCCUAACUCUACUUCAAGGACAAAUAGCCUGCUUCUAAAAUGAAUAGCAGGGAAUUUCUAUGGUUCCGGUUGCACGUAUGAGUUGAAGAUUUCAAUUUGGGUCGCAAGUAUGAAGACACUUGUUCGGGAAGCUAUUGUAUAUCACUUUCAUCUAUAGAAAUACAUGCAUUUUUGUUACUUUGAAACUUUUCUAAUUUUGUUUUACUUUCAAGUCUUUGUAAUUCGUAUACUUGGGUUAUUCUAUAUUGGUUUUAAUUUAA